rnacentral:rRNA from 1 species
UGUCAAAUCAUCAUGCCCCUUAUGUUCUGGGCUACACACGUACUACAAUGGGAAUCACAACGGGAAGCCAAGCCGCGAGGUGGAGCAAAUCCCCAAAAAGUUCCCUCAGUUCGGAUAGGAGUCUGAAACUCGGCUCCUUGAAGCUGGAAUUGCUAGUAAUCGCGAAUCAGCAUGUCGCGGUGAAUACGUUCCCGGGCCUU